rnacentral:tRNA from 1 species
GCGGGCGUAGCCAAGUGGUAAGGCAUUGGACUGUGACUCCAACAUUCGCGGGUUCAAGCCCCGUCGUUCGCC